UAAUAUGGAAUGGUGGCUCAAAAUAUGACUUCACCCAAAUUCCCAGUCAGAGGAGAAGGGCAAACACGCCGACAGGGGUGGAUGGACAGCAGGCUUUGCAGCAGGAGGCAAUGCACCCACUUCCUGACCCUCCAGCGCUGACUGACCCCCCAGUCCUGGCUCCUGAAAUGGACCAGUGUGCCUUACAGCAGACCAUCCCAAUUGAGAUGGUUGAUUCUUAUAUUGCUCAGCUGAGGCAGCAUUCAGCUGUCAGGGUGUGCAAUUAUGCUGCUUCAGCAUUUUCACUUCCUGACUUCAGUGUGAAGCAGAUGACAAUGACAGAAAACAGAUAUGUAAUUGUUGAGAGGUGUAGCAAGCUCCUCCCCGAUGGCCAUGGGUGGGUUUACUGCUGCUCCUGCUC